GAGAGAGAGAGAGAGAGAGGCAAAAUUAGAGAGAGAGGGGGCAGACUAGAGAGAAAGAGAGAGAAGGGAGAGAUAGAGAAGAGAGGGGAAGAGGAUUGGGUAACUGAAAACCGGUUAAAAGAGGUCAGAGUGCCUUUCUCUCCAAUAACAUUAAAAUUGAGUAAUUUUAUAGUUACAAAUUAAAUUUGACGAUGGAAAAGAAAUAAAUCCCAAGUUGAGGGUCGGUGUGUGAAAAUUAGCCUAUUUUAAAUACAUCAUCAAUUACCCUAAAAAUUUGCACAUGGAAACUAGAUUGUGUAUUAGUCGAUUCAGUUAGAAAUUCUCAUAAUUAAUAAUUUAGAACCAAAUAGAAUUUAUGAUGCAAAAAGAACCUGAUUGAACCUAGCAAAAUAACUUCAGCUUUGAGUGCCACUGUGCUGUUAUUAACAAAAAUGAAAGAGAAGAAAACAGUGUCUAUUUGAAAGAAGCUCAUGGCACAACUCUUUCUAGGUUAACCCAUUAGCCUGCCUUUGGGAUUUUUCCAAAGUGAAAAAUUUAACAGUAAACAAAAACAUUUUCAUCAUUUCCGAAGAACCAGACAAGGAAUAUUUGAAAUUAUAGACACAAAUAGAACAUAUGAAAAUCAAAAAUAAAAAAUUUGAAGGCUAAGCUGCAUAUAUCAAGAUAGAAGUGUGGAAACUCCUCAAUUUUUUACCCUUGAACUGAAGCAAAGUGAGAGUGCUUGUGGCAUCUCCCAACCUACUUAGGUUCCUAUUCUAGGUUUUGUGAAGUUUAAGUAUGUUUAUAUCUGUGACUGAAACAUAAUUUAGAUGCACAGUACCCCUUAUCAGUUGAGUUUCAAGUCCAACAAAAGAUGAUUACUGAGUCAUAAAUUUUUUUCUUGGAUUUACCAAAAUCAUUGUUUUUGUGACAACUCAUCCCCUGCCUAUGAAAUCCAAAGUCUUGAUACAGUGUAAUAAUUCGUUGUAAGGGGGAUCUAUGAUUUUGUGAACAUGCUGAGGGAACUGAAAAACAGGUGCGGGAAGGUUUUGGAAGAUUUCCGUCACCUAGAUGGUAAGCUUGGAAAAGACGAUGGGGAAAGGCGUGGAAGUAGAGGCCGUUGCAGAUGAAAUCUUUGUGAAUGAUCUAACCGCUAAGGAAGGUGCAAGCACUUUGAAGGAGUUGAUUCCAUACAAUGGGAUAUUGAACUUGUAAGGGCUUUCAGAGGCCUUUGAUAGCAGUUCAGGUGAAUUUAUUGAAACAGAUAUAAUUUUGAGUUUCUCCCACUGAUAAUAAGAUUUCCCAUGGACCUGCAAAUAUUAAGGAUUAAGAUAAGUCUUCUUUUAUCAAUUCAGUACUAUUUAAUUGUACCUUUUUGUAUUCUUCAAAAAACAUUGCCCUUUUUUUGUAAAUAUAAAACCUAAAACAUGUAUUUUUUGGCACAUUCAAAUGUUUUGUCCUUUGUAAUUCAAACUUAAACCAUGCAUUUUUUUGCUCAUUCAAAAGUCCACUCACCCUAGCGUACUUUCACAUACAGUAAAGACAUACAAUUUAUGAAUAGAUUAAUGUCUAAAGUAACUAUUUAUUGAGAAAAGAAAAAUAAUUUCCAGCCAUGAUUUACAUAAUAAACUAUUACACACAAAUCUUGCAAAAACAUUUUUUUAAUAGUAUUGUAACAACAAUAUUUAAAAUUGACUAUUAGCUCAAAUUAUGAAUCACAAAAUAAUUAGGGUUUUAAGAGAAUAGAGAAUCAUUUUAAACUAUAAGGCUUGAGCACUAGGCUUUUAAAAUAAUGAGAAGGCAAUUUCAAACAUUUCACUAGUUAUAGUGCUGCCCUUUUCACCGUCUCCUAAUAAAGAAACUUAGUGCUCUAAUGCAUUAGAUAUAUGGAUUAUAGAUUUUACUUUUAACA
rnacentral:misc_RNA from 1 species